CCUACGGGAGGCAGCAGUGGGGAAUAUUGGGCAAUGGAGGCAACUCUGACCCAGCAACGCCGCGUGAAUGAUGAAGGUCUUCGGAUUGUAAAGUUCUGUGAUGGGGGAUGAACACAAUGACGGUACCCCAAUAGCAAGCCACGGCUAACUACGUGCCAGCAGCCGCGGUAAUACGUAGGUGGCAAGCGUUAUCCGGAAUGACGGGGCGUAAGGGGUGCGUAGGUGGUUUAGUAGGUUGGCGGUGUAAUUCCGGGGCUCAACCUCGGCGCUACCGCCAAAACUAUUAGACUAGAGUGCAGGAGGGGUAAGUGGAAUGGCUAGUGUAGCGGUGGAAUGCGUAGAUAUUAGGAGGAACAUCAGGGGCGAAGGCGACUUACUGGACUGUAACUGACACUGAGGCACGAAAGCGUGGGGAGCAAACAGGAUUAGAUACCCUGGUAGUC
rnacentral:rRNA from 1 species